rnacentral:rRNA from 1 species
CACGUAGGGCGCAAGCGUUGUCCGGAAUUAUUGGGCGUAAAGAGCUCGUAGGCGGACUGUCACGUCUGCUGUGAAAAGCUGGGGCUUAACCCUGGCCUUGCAGUGGAUACGGGCAGACUAGAGGUAGGUAGGGGAGAAUGGAAUUCCCGGUGUAGCGGUGAAAUGCGCAGAUAUCGGGAGGAACACCGGUGGCGAAGGCGGUUCUCUGGGCAUUACCUGACGCUGAGGAGCGAAAGUGUGGGGAGCGAACAGG